rnacentral:rRNA from 1 species
AUGAACGCUGGCGGCGUGCCUCAUCCAUGCCAGUCGAGCGAACAGACGAGGAGCUUGCUCCUCUGACGUUAGCGGCGGACGGGUGAGUAACACGUGGAUAACCUACCUAUAAGACUGGGAUAACUUCGGGAAACCGGAGCUAAUACCGGAUAAUAUAUUGAACCGCAUGGUUCCAUAGUGAAAGACGGUUUUGCUGUCACUUAUAGAUGGAUCCGCGCCGCAUUAGCUAGUUGGUAAGGUAACGGCUUACCAAGGCGACGAUGCGUAGCCGACCUGAGAGGGUGAUCGGCCACACUGGAACUGAGACACGGUCCAGACUCCUACGGGAGGCAGCAGUAGGGAAUCUUCCGCAAUGGGCGAAAGCCUGACGGAGCAACGCCGCGUGAGUGAUGAAGGUCUUCGGAUCGUAAAACUCUGUUAUUAGGGAAGAACAAAUGUGUAAGUAACUAUGCACGUCUUGACGGUACCUAAUCAGAAAGCCACGGCUAACUACGUG